rfam:Erinaceus europaeus unplaced genomic scaffold scaffold00665, whole genome shotgun sequence
ACAAUGGCUUUAUUUAAAGCCAUUUACAACUUAAAAUUUACAUUUU